rnacentral:tRNA from 1 species
CAAACUAUAGUUUAAGAAAAAUUUUUACUUUGGGAGUAAAAGAUGCUAUAUAAUAACUAGUUUGA